GAUGAACGCUGGCGGCGUGCCUAAUACAUGCAAGUCGAGCGAACAGAUGAGGAGCUUGCUCCUCUGACGUUAGCGGCGGACGGGUGAGUAACACGUGGAUAACCUACCUAUAAGACUGGGAUAACUUCGGGAAACCGGAGCUAAUACCGGAUAAUAUAUUGAACCGCAUGGUUCAAAAGUGAAAGACGGUUUUGCUGUCACUUAUAGAUGGAUCCGCGCUGCAUUAGCUAGUUGGUAAGGUAACGGCUUACCAAGGCAACGAUGCGUAGCCGACCUGAGAGGGUGAUCGGCCACACUGGAACUGAGACACGGUCCAGACUCCUACGGGAGGCAGCAGUAGGGAAUCUUCCGCAAUGGGCGAAAGCCUGACGGAGCAACGCCGCGUGAGUGAUGAAGGUCUUCGGAUCGUAAAACUCUGUUAUUAGGGAAGAACAAAUGUGUAAGUAACUAUGCACGUCUUGACGGUACCUAAUCAGAAAGCCACGGCUAACUACGUG
rnacentral:rRNA from 1 species